rnacentral:snRNA from 1 species
UCACCACUCUGGCCCUAGUGGCUUAGAUGAAGUGUAGUAUCUGUUCUUGAUAGUGUAACCACUAUUAUAGAGGCACUGCCUCUCUCAUUGAUUAUCCUAUUUUUGCUGCCCUUGCCUGUCGAGCUCUGCUUGCACCUCGUCGGCACGAUGUCCUUGGUAUUGCAGUACCUUCAUGCGACGUCGGGGGAUC